UAGUCCAUUAAUUAUGGUUUAGUUACAGCAUGUCCAGGUCUCCUAGACUAUAUAAAAUCAGGUUAUGUUUCCUUCUGAUGUCUCUAAAUUACAAAGGUAAUAACAGGAUCUUAACUUGACCUUAGUGGCCUCCAGCUAUUUCUGGGCAUCUUCCACAGGUUGCAUCAACCAGUUGCCACCUGCCACAGAGCCACCUGCUCCUUUCUCUCUUGGUCUGAUUCUUCCAGGUCUGCUUCCUGAUGGACCCACUUGGAAAACAGCAGAGCUGUCACUGAACAUCCUGAAAACAGUCGAAUCCAGAUUCCCUCCUGGGGCUGGAGUAUGGAGUGGAAUUUGCAAGCAAGCAGAGAAAAUGGCCUCUUCCUUUCUCUUCCUUCUAUCUACACUUGAAGCAAUGGUGCUUGGGACUGAGGACCAUAAAAGAUUUUUAUAAACCUCUUCACCAUGGCUUGUCUUGACUACUGAUAUGAAGUUGCUACUGUAGGAUGAUGAAAACUUCUCAAGCAAGCGAUAAGGAAUACUUCUGUGAAUUUUGUAAAUUGUUCUCAGUAUUCCAGGAAGCAGUUUGCUCAAGUUUCCUUUCUCCAUUUAGCUCUCCUGAAUGCCCAGCUUCAGAGCCUGGGCAGUGCUGCCAAGGAUCCUGCUGGCACAUUCAGCUGCCAUUCAAGGAAACAGCCCUCCACACCGCCUCACACAUGGAAGUCUGUCUUACAGCAUAAAACAGGUGGAAGGACAUUUUGCCUUUAGAGCUCUGCUGGCAUGUCUUGCGAAUUUUAUUGCCCAAUGUCAGGAAUGACAAAAAUCUUUUGUGUAUGUUUGAGGGCGGGAAAGACCAGAUAUUUCUGUGAAUUUAACUGGCUAUUCAGACAAGAUUCCCAGGGCAGCUGUUAUAACUGAGACAAUAAUCGCUUUAAUACUUGGCUCUUUUUCUAGGAUGGAUUGAUAGAAACUUUGGACAAAUCAUUUAAAAAAUUAUGCAGCCAUAACACUGUUUGAAUAUAUCAUGGAUUAUC